rnacentral:rRNA from 1 species
AUUGAACGCUGGCGGCAGGCCUAACACAUGCAAGUCGAACGAGUGGCGGACGGGUGAGUAAUGUCUGGGAAACUGCCUGAUGGAGGGGGAUAACUCCUGGAAACGGUAGCUAAUCACGCAUACCAUCAGAUGUGCCAAGAUGGGAUUAGCUUGUUGGUGGGGUAACGGCUCACAAAGGCGACGAUCCCUAGCUGGUCUGAGAGGAUGACCAUCCACACUGGAACUGAGACACGGUCCAGACUCCUACGGGAGGCAGCAUUGGGGAAUAUUGCAAAAUGGACGCAGGCAUGAUUCAGCCAUGCCGCGUGUAUGAAGAAGGCCUUCGGGUUGUAAAGUACUUUCAUCGGGGAGGCGUGACCCGCAGAAGAAGAAACGGCUAACUCCGUGCCAGCAGCCGCGGUAAGAC